UAAAAAAAUACGUUAAAAGAGUAAUCUUUGGCAGGCUAGGAUGGGGGCAUGAUUUGUAUGGUUUAAUUCAAAUUGCACUCGUCCCGGCCUGCUAAAUUUACUCAAUAUCAUC
rnacentral:pre_miRNA from 1 species